rnacentral:rRNA from 1 species
AGAGUUUGAUCCUGGCUCAGGAUAAACGCUGGCGGCGUGCGUAACACAUGCAAGUUGUGCGGUGAAGUCCGAAAGUGGAGACACAGGAAGAUUUCAUAGCGGCGGACGGGUGAGUAAUAUAUGAGAAGCUAUCCAUCAGAGGGGGACAACAGCUGGAAACGGCUGCUAAUACCCCAUAGGCCUGCGGGUUAAAGCAGUAAUGCGCUGAUGGAGGUGCUCGUAUCCUAUCAACUAGUUGGCGGGGUAACAGCCCACCAAGGUAACGACGGGUAGUCGGCCUGAGAGGGUGUCCGGCCACAUUGGAACUGAGAUACGGUCCAAACUCCUACGGGAGGCAGCAGUGGGGAAUAUUGGGCAAUGGGAGAAAUCCUGACCCAGCGACGCCGCGUGAACGAUGAAGGCCUUCGGGUCGUAAAGUUCUUUUAUGCGGGAAGAAUACAAUGACGGUACCGCAUGAAUAAGCCCCGGCUAACUACGUGCC